rnacentral:rRNA from 1 species
AUUGAACGCUGGCGGCAGGCUUAACACAUGCAAGUCGAGCGGAGCGAGGGUGCUUGCACCUUAGCUUAGCGGCGGACGGGUGAGUAAUGCUUAGGAAUCUGCCUAUUAGUGGGGGACAACAUUCCGAAAGGAAUGCUAAUACCGCAUACGCCCUACGGGGGAAAGCAGGGGAUCCUCGGACCUUGCGCUAAUAGAUGAGCCUAAGUCGGAUUAGCUAGUUGGUGGGGUAAAGGCCUACCAAGGCGACGAUCUGUAGCGGGUCUGAGAGGAUGAUCCGCCACACUGGGACUGAGACACGGCCCAGACUCCUACGGGAGGCAGCAGUGGGGAAUAUUGGACAAUGGGCGGAAGCCUGAUCCAGCCAUGCCGCGUGUGUGAAGAAGGCCUUUUGGUUGUAAAGCACUUUAAGCGAGGAGGAGGCUACUUAGAUUAAUACUCUGGGAUAGUGGACGUUACUCGCAGAAUAAGCACCGGCUAACUCUGUGCCAGCAGCCGCCGCGGUAA